UACGUAGGGGGCAAGCGUUGUCCGGAUUCAUUGGGCGUAAAGCGCGCGUAGGCGGCUCCGCAAGUCGGCCGUGAAAUCUCCAGGCUCAACUUGGAGGGGUCGGGCGAGACUGCGGGGCUCGAGGUGGGCAGAGGGCAGUGGAAUUCCGGGUGUAGUGGUGGAAUGCGUAGAGAUCCGGAGGAACACCAGUGGCGAAGGCGGCUGCCUGGGCCUGGCCUGACGCUGAGGCGCGAAAGCGUGGGGAGCAAACAGG
rnacentral:rRNA from 1 species